CAGGAAAGGGUGGGGGAAGGAGUAUGGAACUGAAAUCUGCAGCUUGCUGUGAAUGGUUCACAAUCUCAAGACCUUUUGGGAUUCUUCAAUGCUUCUGGAUGAUCAGGCAGAUACUGCAGCCAAUAUUGCAUUUUCAUCUAUCUGCACUUGUUGCCCUAAAACAAAUUGCAUAUCAGUUGCAAACAAUAUCUUCAGACAGUGAGGGGGGAAGAAAGAAGAUCUGCAUCUCAGCAAACAACAGCAUAUUGCCUCUUCCCCACCAGACUCCAUGUCUUCUUGCUCUCAGCUGGAACAAACUUUAUCUAGGGGUCACUCUCAGGAAAAAUGCAUUUCAAAGGGUGGCUGAUCUAUAAAAGUGACAGGAACAACUACCCCAAGUUCUCUCUCCCUACCCAUCUCUCUCUUUUCACCUAAGAAAACAAAAGAAACAGCCAUUGGAUUUCAGGAGCAGAUGCUGGCCUUAGAGUUCUGUCAGCUACAUACUGAAAACAUGAACCAAUUCUAGUUUGUUAAGUUUAGAAAUCAUUUCCUCUUUAUUUUUUUUUUGUAAGCAUUUCUGACUUUAAUACAUAAUUACUUGUACUCACUAACAACCUAUUUCUUUGUAGUUAAAUAAACUUAUUUUAUUCCUUAAACAAAACUAAUCCAGUGUUGUGAACUGUGGGGGUUACUUCAUUUGGGGUAGAAAACUGUUGUAUAUUGAUAUCUGUAGAGGGCCAAGAGCCCUAAUAUAUCUGUACUGUGAAGGAGAGGGCUGGACAAUGCAGAACACACAUUUCCUGGAAAAAAUCCAGGACUAUGAGUGUCUUGGGAUCACCCUGUUUGUGGUAAUCAAGACUGGCGGAAGCCAGAGUGUGACUGGAGUGUGGCUGGCAAGCUGCAGCUACACACAGACACUCAGGGUGUGACUUGCAUGUUGUCAGGCUCUCUGUGAGUGGCCCAGGUGGGAGCUACAACUGCGUAGCAUUGUGAGGUACCCCAGGUUGCAGGGCAGGUGUGACACCAUCUCGCCCUGCUCUGGAUUAUAUCCCGGAAUGUUAUAAUCAGACAUUAGGGUCUGACUCUACGGAAUUCAAUGGUAAAAUACUUAUUCCCCUGAUGGGGCCCAUGGUUUCACUCUGAGUAAAUUACUCCACUGUACCAGCCAUGUCAGAUGGCAUAAGAAAAUAGAAUUGAGUAUAAUCAGGAUUCUUAAAGUGUCAGAAUCCACAUCUUCUAUGUAACCUGCUUCACCUCACCAUCUCAUAUACAUAAUGAACAAGAAGAGCAAGAGGAUAUAACCUUGCCAUCCUUGAAAUAGAAGAGCACUCAGAAUGGAUGAGCAAUCAUUUAAUACUGUCAUCUGGGCUUUCUUCUCAGAAAGAAAAGAAUAGAGACACUCAGAUAUGUCCACGGUUGAAAACAUGUUUGUCUGCAAAAAUCUGCAAGGUCAUGAGUCACCACAGAAUUCUGAAACUCAAUAUUGCUUUUUAAAAUGUUGUCAAGUGACAAGUGUACACGGUUGGUGCUAUAUAAUAUAAAGUAAAUAAAUAAAUAAAAAAACACCAGAUG